rnacentral:rRNA from 1 species
GAUGAACGCUAGCGGCAGGCUUAAUACAUGCAAGUCGUGGGGCAGCAUGAAUGUAGCAAUACAUUUGAUGGCGACCGGCAAACGGGUGCGGAACACGUACACAACCUUCCUAUAAGUGGGGAAUAGCCCAGAGAAAUUUGGAUUAAUACCCCGUAACAUAACGAUGUGGCAUCACAUUGUUAUUAUAGCUUCGGCGCUUAUUGAUGGGUGUGCGGCUGAUUAGAUAGUUGGCGGGGUAACGGCCCACCAAGUCUACGAUCAGUAGCUGAUGUGAGAGCAUGAUCAGGCACACGGGGACUGAGACACGGGCCCGACUCCUACGGGAGGCAGCAGUAAGGAAUAUUGGUCAAUGGACGCAAGUCUGAACCAGCCAUGCCGCGUGAAGGAUUAAGGUCCUCUGGAUUGUAAACUUCUUUUAUCUGGGACGAAAAAAGGCUUUUCUAAGUCACUUGACGGUACCAGAUGAAUAAGCACCGGCUAACUCCGUGCCAGCCGCCGCCGUAAUAC